AACGAACGCUGGCGGCGCGCCUAAUACAUGCAAGUCGAGCGAGAAGACGUAGCAAUACGUUUGUAAGGCGGCGAACGGGCGAGGAAUACAUGGGUAACCUACCCUCGAGUGGGGAAUAACUAGCCGAAAGGUUAGCUAAUACCGCGUACGCUCCUUGGACUUCGGUUCAGGGAGGAAAGCGAUACCGUGGGUAUCGCGCUCUUGGAUGGGCUCAUGUCCUAUCAGCUUGUUGGUGAGGAACGGCUCACCAAGGCUUCGACGGGUAGCUGGUCUGAGAGGACGAUCAGCCACACUGGCACUGCGACACGGGCCAGACUCCUACGGGAGGCAGCAGUAAGGAAUAUUGCGCAAUGGGCGAAAGCCUGACGCAGCGACGCCGCGUGGGGGAUGAAGGUC
rnacentral:rRNA from 1 species